rnacentral:rRNA from 1 species
CGAGCACGCGCGUGUGGCAUAUCAAUAAGCGGAGGAAAAGAAACUAACAAGGAUUCCCUUAGUAACGGCGAGUGAAGCGGGAAGAGCUCAAAUUUGAAAUCUUCAAGGUUCUACCUUGACGAAUUGUAGUUUAUAGAAGUGUUUUCUGUUAGUGGAGUGGCAAAAGUUCUUUGGAAUAGGACAUCGUAGAGGGUGAGAAUCCCGUAUUUGGUCAUUCCUCCUAGCGUUGUGAUACACUUUCAAAGAGUCGGAUUGUUUGGGAAUGCAGUCCAAAAUGGGUGGUAAAUUUCAUCUAAAGCUAAAUAUUGGCGAGGGGCCGACAGCGAACAAGUACCGUGAGGGAAAGAUGAAAAGAACUUUGAAAAGAGAGUUAAACAGUACGUGAAAUUGUCAAAAGGGAAGCGUUUGACACCAGUGUUGUUUUUCUGAAAAUCAAUUAAAGAACUGUUUAUGCUAAGCUGUUUAGACUUUAUCAGCUAUCUGUUUAGUUUUAGGCUUUUCUUUAAUGCACUUUUCAGUUAACAAGUCAACAUCAAUUUCUUUUGCUGUAAAAAAGCUUGAGGAAGGUGGCUUGAGAUUCGUCUUAAGUGUUUAUAGCCUCUUGCCUAUGCAGUCGGAGAGAUUGAGGUCUGCAGCGUAGAUCCUUCGGGGCUAAAUGCAUUUGUGCUAAGUUAUAGCAUUUUAUAGACAACUUGUUGACUAUGAUUUGUCUCGUAGCUUACUCGCUUAUGUUAUUUUACCUACGCUUAGGAUGUUAAGCGCAUGUCUCUCUCU